AUGGGCGCUGACAUCGAGAACCCCGAUCCUGAUGGUUGCACCGCGGUGGUGCCCUGCCGGAACACCUUCAGAAUUCCUAAAGGUGCCGGUGGCGACGCCGGCACCGUCGCCACUGGGAAGGCUGUCCAGUUUCGGUGUGGCUGCCCCAUUGAAGGUGUUGAGUCCAGCAGCAGCGCGGGUCGCGGUGGAGAUCCGUGCAUCGCCGCCCUCGCUCCGUGCCUCUCCGGCAUUGUCCUGUCAAGCUCCAAGGGCCGCACAUGUCGGAUUCAUCCUGCCGCAGACGGCUGUGGCUCACCUGAAUCACAUGGCCGGAGAUCGGGCGCGGCGGCUGACGAUCGUGGUCGGGGAAGAGAGGACCUAGGCGUCAUCUUGAGGGCUUCCCGGCGCGAUUCCUUUGACCGCGAGGUCGAGCGUGGCAUGGCGGAGCUUCAGGACAAUGUGGCUUUCCUGGGGAUGUCAGUUGGCCGCGGCGGUGACGACGGUGGCGGUGAGCGCGAGUCUGGAGCUUCGAGCGUGCACGCGAAGAGCACGCUCCAGUGGAUUUGGUGCAUGCCUGUGCCGUCGCCGGGCAUUAGAGAGGCCGAGGAUUUGGUGCGCGCCUCUGUCGUCGCAUUCCCGGAGCCGUCCGAGCUUGUCGUUCUCCGGUGGCUGCAAGGCCGUCCAAGUUCAUUGUUCGCCAGUGCGCGGGUGUUCCUGGAGGUGGUCAUGUCGCCGAGCGCGAGCCCCGCAGCCCCAGGCAUAGAUGUGUGUGCCUGA
rnacentral:rRNA from 1 species